GGUCGUGUAAUGUAGUGGUUAACAUUCCUGAUUUUGACCAGCAUCCAGCCUCCAACGGUGCCGCUCCAAAGCGUUCAGGUCACCUGGGUUCGAAUCCCAGCAUGACCU
rfam:Sporisorium reilianum SRZ2 chromosome 5 complete DNA sequence